rnacentral:rRNA from 1 species
CACACCGCCCGUCACACACGAGAGUUUGUAACACCCGAAGUCGGUAGGGUAACGCUUACGCGAGCCAGCCGCCGAAGGUGGGACAGAUAAUUGGGGUGAAGUCGUAACAAGGUAGCCGUAUCGGAAGGUGCGGCUGGAUCACCUCCUUUCUAAGGA